rnacentral:rRNA from 1 species
ACUAAGCGUACACGGUGGAUGCCCUGGCAGUCAGAGGCGAUGAAGGACGUGCUAAUCUGCGAAAAGCGUCGGUAAGGUGAUAUGAACCGUUACAGCCGGCGAUGUCCGAAUGGGGAAACCCAGUGCAAUUCGUUGCACUAUCGUUAACUGAAUACAUAGGUUAACGAGGCGAACCGGGGAACUGAAACAUCUAAGUACCCCGAGGAAAAGAAAUCAACCGAGAUUCCCCCAGUAGCGGCGAGCGAACGGGGAGCAGCCCAGAGUCUGAAUCAGCUUGUGUGUUAGUGGAACGGUCUGGAAAGUCCGACGGUACAGGGUGAUAGUCCCGUACACCAAAAUGCACAGGUUGUGAACUCGAAGAGUAGGGCGGGACACGUGRUAUCCUGUCUGAAUAUGGGGGGACCAUCCUCCAAGGCUAAAUACUCCUGACUGACCGAUAGUGAACCAGUACCGUGAGGGAAAGGCGAAAAGAACCCCGGCGAGGGGAGUGAAAAAGAACCUGAAACCGUGUACGUACAAGCAGUGGGAGCACCUUCGGGUGUGACUGCGUACCUUUUGUAUAAUGGGUCAGCGACUUAUAUUCUGUAGCAAGGUUAACCGUAUAGGGGAGCCGCAGGGAAACCGAGUCUUAACUGGGCGUUAAGUUGCAGRGUAUAGACCCGAAACCCGGUGAUCUAGCCAUGGGCAGGUUGAAGGUUGGGUAACACUAACUGGAGGACCGAACCGACUAAUGUUGAAAAAUUAGCGGAUGACUUGUGGCUGGGGGUGAAAGGCCAAUCAAACCGGGAGAUAGCUGGUUCUCCCCGAAAGCUAUUUAGGUAGCGCCUCGUGAACUCAUCUUCGGGGGUAGAGCACUGUUUCGGCUAGGGGGUCAUCCCGACUUACCAACCCGAUGCAAACUACGAAUACCGAAGAAUGUUAUCACGGGAGACACACGGCGGGUGCUAACGUCCGUCGUGAAGAGGGAAACAACCCAGACCGCCAGCUAAGGUCCCAAAGUCACAGUUAAGUGGGAAACGAUGUGGGAAGGCACAGACAGCCAGGAUGUUGGCUUAGAAGCAGCCAUCAUUUAAAGAAAGCGUAAUAGCUCACUGGUCGAGUCGGCCUGCGCGGAAGAUGUAACGGGGCUAAACUGUGCACCGAAGCUGCGGCAGCGACACUAUGUGUUGUUGGGUAGGGGAGCGUUCUGUAAGCCUGCGAAGGUGGCCUGUGAGGGUUGCUGGAGGUAUCAGAAGUGCGAAUGCUGACAUAAGUAACGAUAAUGCGGGUGAAAAGCCCGCACGCCGGAAGACCAAGGGUUCCUGUCCAACGUUAAUCGGGGCAGGGUGAGUCGACCCCUAAGGCGAGGCCGAAAGGCGUAGUCGAUGGGAAACAGGUUAAUAUUCCUGUACUUGGUGUUACUGCGAAGGGGGGACGGAGAAGGCUAUGUUAGCCGGGCGACGGUUGUCCCGGUUUAAGCAUGUAGGCGGAGGUUCCAGGUAAAUCCGGUACCUUAUUAACGCUGAGGUGUGAUGACGAGGCACUACGGUGCUGAAGUAACAAAUGCCCUGCUUCCAGGAAAAGCCUCUAAGCAUCAGGUAACAUUAAAUCGUACCCCAAACCGACACAGGUGGUCAGGUAGAGAAUACCAAGGCGCUUGAGAGAACUCGGGUGAAGGAACUAGGCAAAAUGGUGCCGUAACUUCGGGAGAAGGCACGCUGAUAUGUAGGUGAAGCCCCUGCGGGUGGAGCUGAAAUCAGUCGAAGAUACCAGCUGGCUGCAACUGUUUAUUAAAAACACAGCACUGUGCAAACACGAAAGUGGACGUAUACGGUGUGACGCCUGCCCGGUGCCGGAAGGUUAAUUGAUGGGGUUAUCCGUAAGGAGAAGCUCUUGAUCGAAGCCCCGGUAAACGGCGGCCGUAACUAUAACGGUCCUAAGGUAGCGAAAUUCCUUGUCGGGUAAGUUCCGACCUGCACGAAUGGCGUAAUGAUGGCCAGGCUGUCUCCACCCGAGACUCAGUGAAAUUGAACUCGCUGUGAAGAUGCAGUGUACCCGCGGCAAGACGGAAAGACCCCGUGAACCUUUACUAUAGCUUGACACUGAACAUUGAGCCUUGAUGUGUAGGAUAGGUGGGAGGCUUUGAAGCGUGGACGCCAGUCUGCGUGGAGCCAACCUUGAAAUACCACCCUUUAAUGUUUGAUGUUCUAACGUUGGCCCCUGAUCGGGGUUGCGGACAGUGUCUGGUGGGUAGUUUGACUGGGGCGGUCUCCUCCCAAAGAGUAACGGAGGAGCACGAAGGUUAGCUAAUCCUGGUCGGACAUCAGGAGGUUAGUGCAAUGGCAUAAGCUAGCUUGACUGCGAGCGUGACGGCGCGAGCAGGUGCGAAAGCAGGUCAUAGUGAUCCGGUGGUUCUGAAUGGAAGGGCCAUCGCUCAACGGAUAAAAGGUACUCCGGGGAUAACAGGCUGAUACCGCCCAAGAGUUCAUAUCGACGGCGGUGUUUGGCACCUCGAUGUCGGCUCAUCACAUCCUGGGGCUGAAGUAGGUCCCAAGGGUAUGGCUGUUCGCCAUUUAAAGUGGUACGCGAGCUGGGUUUAGAACGUCGUGAGACAGUUCGGUCCCUAUCUGCCGUGGGCGCUGGAGAAUUGAGGGGGCUGCUCCUAGUACGAGAGGACCGGAGUGGACGCAUCACUGGUGUUCGGGUUGUCAUGCCAAUGGCAUUGCCCGGUAGCUAAAUGCGGAAGAGAUAAGUGCUGAAAGCAUCUAAGCACGAAACUUGCCCCGAGAUGAGUUCUCCCUGAGACUUUAAGUCUCCUGAAGGAACGUUAAAGACGAUGACGUUGAUAGGUCGGGUGUGUAAGCGUAGCGAUACGUUGAGCUAACCGAUACUAAUGAACCGUGAGGCUUAACC